rnacentral:rRNA from 1 species
GACGAACGCUGGCGGCGUGCUUAACACAUGCAAGUCGAACGGAAAGGCCCUGCUUUUGUGGGGUGCUCGAGUGGCGAACGGGUGAGUAACACGUGAGUAACCUGCCCUUGACUUUGGGAUAACUUCAGGAAACUGGGGCUAAUACCGGAUAGGAGCUCCUGCUGCAUGGUGGGGGUUGGAAAGUUUCGGCGGUUGGGGAUGGACUCGCGGCUUAUCAGCUUGUUGGUGGGGUAGUGGCUUACCAAGGCUUUGACGGGUAGCCGGCCUGAGAGGGUGACCGGCCACAUUGGAACUGAGAUACGGCCCAGACUCCUACGGGAGGCAGCAGUGGGGAAUAUUACACAAUGGGCGGAAGCCUGAUGCAGCAACGCCGCGUGCGGGAUGACGGCCUUCGGGUUGUAAACCGCUUUCGCCUGUGACGAAGCGUGAGUGACGGUAAUGGGUAAAGAAGCACCGGCUAACUACGUG